rnacentral:rRNA from 1 species
GAUGAACGCUGGCGGCGUGCCUAAUACAUGCAAGUCGAGCGAACAGACGAGGAGCUUGCUCCUCUGACGUUAGCGGCGGACGGGUGAGUAACACGUGGAUAACCUACCUAUAAGACUGGGAUAACUUCGGGAAACCGGAGCUAAUACCGGAUAAUAUAUUGAACCGCAUGGUUCAAUAGUGAAAGACGGUUUUGCUGUCACUUAUAGAUGGAUCCGCGCCGCAUUAGCUAGUUGGUAAGGUAACGGCUUACCAAGGCAACGAUGCGUAGCCGACCUGAGAGGAUGAUCGGCCACACUGGAACUGAGACACGGUCCAGACUCCUACGGGAGGCAGCAGUAGGGAAUCUUCCGCAAAGGGCGAAAGCUUGACGGAGCAACGCCGCGUGAGUGAUGAAGGUCUUCGGAUCGUAAAACUCUGUUAUUAGGGAAGAACAAAUGUGUAAGUAACUAUGCACGUCUUGACGGUACCUAAUCAGAAAGCCACGGCUAACUACGUG